UACAGAGGCCUCGAGCGUUAGGCGGAAUCACUGGGCUUAAAGCGUGUGUAGGUGGAUGCCUAAGUACCUUGUGAAAUCCCACGGCUUAACCGUGGAACUGCUGGGUAUACUGGGCGUCUUGAGCCACUCAGGGGCUACCGGAACAAACGGUGGAGCGGUGAAAUGCGUAGAUAUCGUUUGGAACGCCAAUGGUGAAAACAGGUAGCUGGGGGUGUGCUGACACUGAGACACGAAAGCCAGGGGAGCAAACGGGG
rnacentral:rRNA from 1 species